AUGUGCACAUCCUCCUCCGAUUUCUAUUCAUCCACCUGUGCACUUUUUGUAGGAGUUCUUUCAUCGGGUUUUUGAAGGUGCUCAUUAUGAGUUACUUGAAAAGACUAGUUGACAAGGCUUCUAUGUUCUUAUAAACCAUUGAAGUAUGUUAUAGAAUGAUCUUGUUAUUGGGACUUUAUUGACCCUUUAAACUUAAUACAACUUUCAGCAACGGAUCUCUUGGCUCUCCCAUCGAUGAAGAACGCAGCGAAAUGCGAUAAGUAAUGUGAAUUGCAGAAUUCAGUGAAUCAUCGAAUCUUUGAACGCACCUUGCGCCCUCUGGUAUUCCGGAGGGCAUGCCUGUUUGAGUGUCAUUAAAUUCUCAACUUUAUAAGUUUUUUACUUAUUAAAGCUUGGAUGUUGGAGGCUUGCAGGCGUUUGUCAGCUCCUCUUAAAUUUAUUAGUGGGAACCCUGUUUUGUUAGUUCUAACCUUGGUGUGAUAAUUAUCUACAUUUUGGUGGAACCUUACAAUAAUAAAGCUCUAUUGGUUUGGGUUGUUGCAUUUAGUUUGCUCAAUCUGUUCUAUUCAUUGGAGAAAAAGGGAAGUUCCGCUUUCUAACUGUCUUGAUUGACUAUAUAUAACUUAUUUGCU
rnacentral:rRNA from 1 species